UCGUAUAACGGAGAUGCCUAGGGCUGUCGCUGACUCUCAUGGGUCGUGCACGCCCAAAGCCGCUCUCUCAUGUCCAUCUCACCCCUUUGUGCAUCACCGCGUGUGCUCCCCUAUCGGGUUUGUUCCGAGGGGGUGGUUCACGUUUUUACAUAGACACCAAUUUUUAAAAGCAUGUGUAGAAUGUCUUACUUUUUGCGAUCACACGCAAUCAAUA
rnacentral:misc_RNA from 1 species